AGAACGAACGCUGGCGGCGUGCCUAACACAUGCAAGUCGAGCGAGAAAGGGACUUCGGUCCUGAGUAAAGCGGCGCACGGGUGCGUAACACGUGGGUAAUCUUCCUCCGGGUUGGGAAUAACUCUUCGAAAGGAGAGCUAAUACCGAAUAAGCCCACGAUCUCCUUGGAGAUUGAGGGAAAAGGUGGCCUCUGCAUGCAAGCUAUCACCUGGAGAUGAGCCCGCGGCCCAUCAUGCUAGUUGGCGGGGUAACGGCCCACCAAGGCGACGACGGGUA
rnacentral:rRNA from 1 species